CCUCCGUCCAUGGGAUUUUCCAGGCAAGAGUACUGGAGUGGGGUGCCAUUGCCUUCUCCGUCUUGAAGGCUUAGGCCAAGGAUUUACCUACCACUCUUCUCUGAAUCAGAGGUCUUCUGCAUGGCUGGCAUUCACCAAAGACAAGGCAGCAGCUGGAGAUCAGAGUUUAUACCCCAGGGCAGCGGUCCCCAACCUUUUGGCACCAGGGACUGAUUUCGUGGAAGACAGUUUUUCCACAAACCAUCAUGAACGUCAUCAUGUUGGGAGCCCUAGCAGAGGGACAGAUUAAGGAGCUGGGUUCAAGCCAGGUGCAAGCAAGCAAGCGAGGGCUGUAGUUUGAGCUGGAAGAUUGGGAGGGGUUUGCUUCAGGCUGAUGAGCAGCCCCACCCUUAAAAGAAAAAAAAAAAAACCCAGAUAGGAACUCUGGGUCUGCUCCUUGCUUGGGAUGUAAGUCUCUCCUCUCUCUCUUUGGGAACAAGGGCCAAGAGGACAAAUCGAUGAGCUUGAAAAGUGAGAGCAGGUCAAUGAUGUGAGGCCCUGUCUGCCUUCCUCGAGGGGCAGGCGGCAGUUGUGGGGCCUCACAGCCCACUACCGUCCGCCUGGAGAAUUGUGAACUCACGGGUGGUGGGAGUAAGAACCUCCCCCGCGAUGCAGGGCAUCAGCCAGAGCUGCACUUCAGAAAAGAUCGGUCGCCUGGAUAAGGAACAGAUGCGGUUGCUCAACCCAACCUGUCCUUAUCGCCAGGGACCCAGCCCAACGUCCUCUGUGUCUCCGACAGAAGCACCAGGACACCAGGAGGUGACCAGCUCAUGUCCUCAGAGCUGAAACUGUGGGGAGUUGAGACUGUUGUCUUCAGCACCCCCCACCAGGAGGUGGUGCCCACAGGAGCCCACAGGAGCAUCACGGCUCCACUCCAGACAGGAGGAAGAGGCAGGGAAGUGUGACUCCUGUAAAGG
ensembl:lncRNA